UCUAGCAGUCACCUUAUUUUAUUAUAGGCUAAAUGAUCCAGGCUAUAACAUCAAGCAAAAACUAAAAAGAAGAGUCUCGUCUCUUUUUCUCUGGUUUCUUUCUUCUCAAAAUUCUCCGAUAUCAAGGUCCUGUGUUAAAAAUUUCGUAUUUUCUUUCCAGCUUGGGUUGAUCAAUAGAAUGAUCAUGGCUCUUGGAAAUUUGGUGACACCUGUAUGACAGAAAUGCUUGCCUUAAGUAUUGUUUGCCAUCACCCUCGUCUUCCUUGCAUAUGUGGCCUCUUCUGAAACCUGAAGGAGGUUUUGGCACUGAAAGGGAUGUUGCAGUUGUGGCCAACCUAAGUCCAGAGUCGGUUCCAUCGGAGACAAUCGUGUAGGGGCCUGGCACUCCUAUCGUUCAUCAAAGGCUACACUUAAUCAAUAUAAUGCUGUUUGACUUGACGCAUGCCGUGACGGAAAGUAUUUCAGUUGAAUUUGCAGGGAAGAAAGAUCUAGCUCAUGAACAUCAUUAAAACAAUACAAAACAUCAGGGUAAUGGCAAGUUCUUUCCGAGGGAUGGUCAGGAAAUUCCUUGGUGAUUGAAAAUUUGCAUUUUGAUUUAAAAUUUUUUUAAAUAAAGUAUUAGCGAAUGUUAAAUUGUCAUAUUGGUUUAUAGCAGCUAACUGUACGAUUUCGUUGAACUUUCAUCCAUUGCUUUGAUAUUGGUAGACUUCAAGCAUCGGCAGAUAGUCUUGUUAUCAUCAACUGAUUUGAAAGUUUGAGCAAGCUGCUGCAGAUCACAGCAGAGGGCUUAGCAUCUACAGCUGCCUUCCUAAGGUUGGCAACGAAGAAGAGGAAUCUUCAUGGUUGCUUGUCUGUCAAACUGUAUGGAACGUUGAGUUAAAUUGAUGAAAAUUGGGUAGGGGGUGAUGGAUUUAAAUUGUCAUUUUAUACGUCAUUUUCAAGCAUCGGGCUAAGAGAGGUUUGUGUUUCCCAAUGAGAUUGAUCAAAUUCGGAUUAAUCUAUCUAUAUAUAUAUAUAUAUAUAUAUGUCAUGUUAUGCAA